rnacentral:misc_RNA from 1 species
CACCAAUCAAGCCCCGGCUUGGUCUUGGGCGUCGCGGUCUCCCGCGUGCCUCAAUGUCGCCGGCUGGUGCGUCCGUCUCCGAGCGUCGUGACUUCAUUGCUCGCUUCUGGAGGUCGGACGGACUGCGCCGUCAACCCCCCAUAUCUACA